rnacentral:rRNA from 1 species
GAGUUUGAUCCUGGCUCAGAUUGAACGCUGGCGGCAUGCCUUACACAUGCAAGUCGAACGAGACCUUCGGGUCUAGUGGCGCACGGGUGCGUAACACGUGGGAAUUUGCCUCGGGGUAUGGAAUAACUCAGGGAAACUUGAGCUAAUACCAUAUAAUGUCUUCGGACCAAAGAUUUAUCGCCCUGAGAUAAGCCCGCGUAGGAUUAGCUAGUUGGUGAAGUAAAGGCUCACCAAGGCGACGAUCCUUAGCUGGUCUGAGAGGAUGAUCAGCCACACUGGGACUGAGACACGGCCCAGACUCCUACGGGAGGCAGCAGUGGGGAAUAUUGGACAAUGGGCGAAAGCCUGAUCCAGCAAUGCCGCGUGAGUGAUGAAGGCCUUAGGGUUGUAAAGCUCUUUACCCGAGAUGAUAAUGACAGUAUCGGGAGAAUAAGCUCCGGCUAACUCCGUG